rnacentral:misc_RNA from 1 species
AUGAUUUUUUAUUAUUUGUGGAACGUACUACGAACAAAGCAAAAAAUAUUAUAGUCAAAAAAAAUUAAAUCA